rnacentral:rRNA from 1 species
AUUGAACGCUGGCGGCAGGCCUAACACAUGCAAGUCGAACGAGUGGCGGACGGGUGAGUAACGUCUGGGAAACUCCCUGAUGGAGGGGGAUAACUACUGGAACCGGUAGCUAAUACCGCUUAGCAUCAGAUGUGCCCAGAUGGGAUUAGCUGGUUGGUGGGGUAACGGGUCACCAAGGCGACGAUCCCUGGCUGGUCUGAGAGGAUGACCAGCAACACUGGACCUGAGACACGGUCCAGACGCCUACGGGGGGCAGCAGUGGGGAAUAUUGCACAAUGGGCGCAAGCCGGAUGCAGCCAUGCCGCGUGAAUGAAGAAGGCCUUCGGGUUGUAAAGUACUUUCAGCGGGGAGGCGUUACCCGCAGAAGAAGCACCGGCUAACUCCGUGCCAGCAGCCGCGGUAAUAC